rnacentral:rRNA from 1 species
GUCUACGGCCAUACCACCUUGAACAUGCCCAAUCUCGGAAGCUAAGCAGGGUUGGGCCUGGUUAGUACUUGGAUGGGAGACAUCCUGGGAAUACUGGGUGCUGUAGGCA